CUCUACUCCGUGUAGGUGGCUCCAGUAGGUGGCUAAAAAGACAGACAGAUGUUUAAGUAAUCUUGAGCACAUUAUUUUUAUGAAAGCCAGAAAUGAAGGUUAUGAGUUUGGGCAUCUCAAAGUUGGUAAUUUCCAAUCAGCAGCUUAAGGACUUAUGAAGAGAGUGUAAGCAGUCAGCAAGGAACCAGGGAAAAUAAUAGAAGGAUCUCAACAGGCUGAAGAGAUAAGCAGAGAGGAACCUCUUGAAAUUCAACAAAAACAAGUAGAGGGCAGAGAUCCCAUGCACAGGGGAAUGGAGCACCUCAUGUAUGAGAAAAGGCUUGGGGAACUGAUACUGUUCAGCCUAGAGAAGAGAAGGCUCUGGAGAGGAUCUCAUCAAUGUCUAUCUGAAAGGAAAAAUGGCAAAAGGUUCUUUUCAAUCAUGUCCAGCACCAGGAGGAGUGGCAACGAGCACAAACUGAAACAGAGGAAGUUCUGGCUGAACAUAAAAAAAAAUGUACUUACUGUGAAGAUGACAGAGAACAGGAACAGUUUGCUGAGAGAGGCUGUGGAAUCUUUUCCUGGAGAUAUUCAAAAGCCAUCUGGGUAACGUGCUACAGGGGAUGCUGUUUGAGCAGGGGAGUUAGACUAGAUGAUCUCCAGAGGUCCCUUCCAACCUCAACCAUUCUGCGAUUCUGUGAUUUAUGUUUGAAUUGGACUUCCAGCCAUCUUCCA
ensembl:lncRNA